rnacentral:rRNA from 1 species
GGGGAAUAUUGCACAAUGGGCGAAAGCCUGAUGCAGCGACGCCGCGUGAGGGAUGACGGCCUUCGGGUUGUAAACCUCUUUCAGCAGGGAAGAAGCGAAAGUGACGGUACCUGCAGAAGAAGCGCCGGCUAACUACGUGCCAGCAGCCGCGGUAAUACGGAGGGUGCAAGCGUUACUCGGAAUCACUGGGCGUAAAGAGCACGUAGGCGGCCUUGCAAGUCAGAUGUGAAAUCCAACGGCUUAACCGUUGAACUGCAUUUGAAACUGCAAGGCUAGAGUAUGGGAGAGGUAGGUGGAAUUCUCGGUGUAGGGGUAAAAUCCGUAGAGAUCGAGAGGAAUACUCAUUGCGAAGGCGACCUGCUGGAACAUUACUGACGCUGAGGUGCGAAAGCGUGGGGAGCAAACA